UUCGUAGGCGGUGCGGCAAGUUGGGAGUGAAAUCUCUGGGCUUAACCCAGGGGCUGCUUCCAAAACUGCUGUGCUCGAGUGUGAGAGAGGCGCGUGGAAUUGCAGGUGUAGCGGUGAAAUGCGUAGAUAUCUGCAGGAACACCCGUGGCGAAAGCGGCGCGCUGGAUCACUACUGACGCUGAGGAACGAAAGCUAGGGGAGCAAACAGGAUUAGAUACCCUGGUAGUCCUAGCCCUAAACGAUCAGGACUUGGGGUGCCACCCGUUCGGGUGUCGUCCCGGAGCUAACGCGUUAAGUCCUGCACCUGGGGAGUACGGUCGCAAGACUGAA
rnacentral:rRNA from 1 species